rnacentral:rRNA from 1 species
UUGGACAUGGGCGAAGCCUGAUCCAGCCAUGCCGCGUGUGUGAAGAAGGUCUUCGGAUUGUAAAGCACUUUAAGUUGGGAGGAAGGGCAGUAAGUUAAUACCUUGCUGUUUUGACGUUACCAACAGAAUAAGCACCGGCUAACUUCGUGCCAGCAGCCGCGGUAAUACGAAGGGUGCAAGCGUUAAUCGGAAUUACUGGGCGUAAAGCGCGCGUAGGUGGUUCAGCAAGUUGGAGGUGAAAUCCCCGGGCUCAACCUGGGAACUGCCUCCAAAACUACUGAGCUAGAGUACGG